rnacentral:rRNA from 1 species
GACGUAGGGGGCGAGCGUUGUCCGGAUUCAUUGGGCGUAAAGCGCGCGCAGGCGGCCGGUCAAGUCGGAUGUGAAAACCCGGGGCUCAACCCCGGGCCUGCAUCCGAUACUGAUCGGCUCGAGGAAGGUAGGGGAGAGCGGAAUUCCCGGUGUAGCGGUGAAAUGCGCAGAUAUCGGGAGGAACACCGGUGGCGAAGGCGGCUCUCUGGGCCUGUCCUGACGCUGAGGCGCGAAAGCUAGGGGAGCAAACAGG